UUCGUGUUUUGAAGUCUCCUUGGAGUGCAGGCCAAUGAAUUUGAUUAGCGGUUACUUGAGUAAUAACGGAGCUGCUAACGUGCAUCCUCCAGGGUUUUAGACUUUGAUAGAAAUUGUGAUAACAAUUUAGCAGAGGUUGAGGCCGAAGAGGUCGGAAUAGCCUGGCUAGAUUUGAGAAACAUUCUGAAGCAAGAAAUUCCAGAAAUAAUAAAAGAGAGCAGGACCGGCUUCCAUCUUCAAAUAAGGCCUCAUCACGGCAGAGACAAUCAACUUAAGAAAUGUAUUAACUGUGACAGCAGGAUGAAGAAGAUUAUAGAUACAUCUGGGAUGGUGUCGUGGCUAUGCCUGAAUCAAUCUAUCCUGACAUCGUCAUCAUUGUCAUGUCUAAGCAGUAUCAAAUCAGAGAUGUGGCGGAUGUUGCCUGCUACUCAACGUUCUGAUGGUGGCUGAAAAGUGUUUUGAAGAUUAUCAUCAACCUGGGAUCCAUGCAAGGUAUCGCUGUUGCUGUCGGCCUCCUUUUCUGACACCUUGCUGAGGCUGCUGGCAUUGGCCACUUUUCACAAUUCUGAAUAAAACAAACCUAAACUCGCCAGUGUGCUCUACUUCUUGCUGCUGCUGCUGCUGCUGCUGCUGCUGCUGCUGCUACUGCUGCUGUCGGUGCGGGUUUUGUCAGAGUGAGGGGUGCAGCGGUUUGUUCUUGUGUGGUUGACUGGAUUAAUCCUGGAGGUAUACUAUUAUAAUAUUCCUCACGGACCUAACUUAGGUUGCAUGCAAGUAGUAAGCUAGCUGUCUGCAAGUAAUAUGCUUGCUGUCCGCUCUGUGUCGGAACUGUACUGCGGUGUAUGCAUGAGUAACUAUGCAGUGGAGGGAGCAAUCAGUUUGCCGCGAUGCUUAUUGUUUUUGUAGAAAGGCAACGGACUUGAGUUUCCACCAACU